AGCAGCCGCCGCGGCAAUACAGAGGGUGCGAGCGUUAAUCGGAUUUACUGGGCGUAAAGCGUGCGUAGGCGGCUUCUUAAGUCGGAUGUGAAAUCCCUGAGCUUAACUUAGGAAUUGCAUUCGAUACUGGGAAGCUAGAGUAUGGGAGAGGAUGGUAGAAUUCCAGGUGUAGCGGUGAAAUGCGUAGAGAUCUGGAGGAAUACCGAUGGCGAAGGCAGCCAUCUGGCCUAAUACUGACGCUGAGGUACGAAAGCAUGGGGAGCAAACAGGAUUAGAUACCCCCGUAGUCCCUGUCUCUUAUAC
rnacentral:rRNA from 1 species